ACUGACCCCUCGUGCGGCGAUACCGUGCCGAACUCCCCCAGGGCUGGAAAGCAGCAAGGGUAAGCGCGCUCUGUCGGGUGCACGAGGGGUUUUACUU
rnacentral:SRP_RNA from 1 species